rnacentral:rRNA from 1 species
UACGGAGGGGGCAAGCGUUGUUCGGAAUUACUGGGCGUAAAGGGCGCGUAGGCGGCCUGUUAAGUCGAACGUGAAAUCCCCGGGCUCAACCCGGGAACUGCGUCCGAUACUGGCAGGCUUGAAUUCGGGAGAGGGAUGCGGAAUUCCAGGUGUAGCGGUGAAAUGCGUAGAUAUCUGGAGGAACACCGGUGGCGAAGGCGGCGUUCUGGACUGCAACUGACACUGAGAAACGAAAGCCAGGGGAGCAAACGGG